rnacentral:rRNA from 1 species
CCUACGGGAGGCUGCAGUCGAGAAUUAUUCACAAUGGGGGAAACCCUGAUGGUGCGACGCCGCGUGGGGGAAUGAAGGUCUUGGAUUGUAAACCCCUGUCAUGUGGGAGCAAAUUAAAAAGAUAGUACCACAAGAGGAAGAGACGGCUAACUCUGUGCCAGCAGCCGCGGUAAUACAGAGGUCUCAAGCGUUGUUCGGAAUCACUGGGCGUAAAGCGUGCGUAGGCUGUUUCGUAAGUCGGGUGUGAAAGGCGCGGGCUCAACCCGCGGACGGCACAUGAUACUGCGAGACUAGAGUAAGGGAGGGGGAACCGGAAUUCUCGGUGUAGCAGUGAAAUGCGUAGAUAUCGAGAGGAACACUCGUGGCGAAGGCGGGUUCCUGGACAUUAACUGACGCUGAGGCACGAAGGCCAGGGGAGCGAAAGGGAUUAGAUACCCCAGUAGUC